UUUUAAGAAGUGAGCUAACACCGCCGCCGCUGGAUCACUAUCCCUAUGUCGAGCUUUCUGCAACAAAAGUUGCAGGCUCGACAAAAACCCCAAAAUUAUGAAGAAAAAAAUCCUCUCCCAUUUUUUUUUUCUUUUAACCCCCCUUGGAGUAAUUUACCCCAAACUCAAUUCCUGUCUGUUAUCAUGGUUAUGGUACCUUGCAGUACAAUUUCAGAGAGAUCGACACAUUUAAACACAAGUCACCUUAACUUUAAACGACCGCAGAGGUCAAACCCUGAA
rnacentral:lncRNA from 1 species